rnacentral:rRNA from 1 species
UACGUAGGUGGCGAGCGUUAUCCGGAAUGAUUGGGCGUAAAGGGUGCGUAGGCGGCCUGCUAAGUCUGGAGUGAAAGGUACCGGCUCAACCGGUACAGGCUCUGGAAACUGGCGGGCUAGAGAGCAGGAGAGGGCGGUGGAACUCCAUGUGUAGCGGUAAAAUGCGUAGAUAUAUGGAGGAACACUAGUGGCGAAGGCGGCUUCCUGGUCUGCAACUGACACUGAGGCGCGAAAGCGUGGGGAGCAAACAGG